GAAUGAAGCCGACCCAAAAGUUUGAUGUGAUUGAAGAAGAAAAUUAAACAAGCAAUUUGAAGAGUAGAAAGAAGAGAAGAGGAACAUGAGCAUGUAUGUGGUUCGGCCUAACUCAGAGCCAACGUCCACGGGAAGGGAUGAAGUAUAUUAUUGAAGAUUUUACAGAGAAAAGUUUCUUUACAGUUUUUGUUUUGAGAAAUGUAAAGAAUAACACAAAAUGUAAAAGUAUCAACUAGUUAUAUUUGAAUACAUUUCUAUUAUGAAAGCUGUUAAAGAAACUAGCGGUUGAGGCUUGACUUGAGAUUAUUAUCUUCAAAUCUCCACCUUAAUCUCAGCUAUGUAAAUCUUCUCCCUUCCGAAUCUGACCUCUGAUUAUUCUUUUUCAGGUAGAGCAAAGCCGAUAAGGUCAAGGCACUUGCUGAGCAUGAGCUUCGGAACCGACUUGGUAAGCAUGUCUGCUGCGUUUUCUAAGAUUGUUGGGUUUAGAAAUUGACUUCAGGCCCACGAGGAGGUUGCUCAGCUUAAAUGAAAGUGGUAGGUGAAACGAAAGGCACACAAUGUGCCACACCUCUCAGUUGGCUCUACAACACGUGGAAACCUCCAUUAUCUCAAUUCAGUGGGAGAGAAUGAAGUCGACCCAAAAGUUUGAUGUGAUUGAAGAAGAAAAUUAAACAUGCAAUUUGAAGAGCAGAAAGAAUAAGAGAAGAGGAACACGAACAUGUAUGUGGUUCGGCCUAACUCAGAGCCUACGUCCACGGGAAGGGAUGAAGUAUCUUAUUGAAGAUUUUAAAGAGAUAAGUUUCUUUACAGUUUUUGUUUUUGAGAAAUGUGAACAACACAAAAUGUAAAAGUGUCAACUAUUUAUAUUUGAAUACAUUUCUGUUAUGAAAGUUGUUAACGAAACUAGCUGCUGGGGCUUGACUUGAAAUUAUUAUCUUCAAAUCGUUUGUUGGUUAUUUAUUUGUGAGUGUCCAUCACACGCUUCCAACAAAGUGGUAUUAAAGCUUGAGUUUGAAAAACAAAUAAUUGUUUUGCAAAUGGAAAAUAACAAUUUGGUUCCCUUCCAAAUGUCUCGACUUACGAAAGAACAUUAUAGCAGUUAGUGUAUCUGUAUGAAAGCUCUACUUAGUUCACAA